UGGGGAAUAUUGCACAAUGGGCGCAAGCCUGAUGCAGCAACGCCGCGUGCGGGAUGACGGCCUUCGGGUUGUAAACCGCUUUCAGCAGGGACGAAGCGCAAGUGACGGUACCUGCAGAAGAAGCACCGGCUAACUACGUGCCAGCAGCCGCGGUGAUACGUAGGGUGCGAGCGUUGUCCGGAUUUAUUGGGCGUAAAGAGCUUGUAGGCGGUCGGUCACGUCGAAAGUGCAAACUCAGGGCUUAACCCUGAGCCUGCUUUCGAUACGGGCUGACUAGAGGAAGGUAGGGGAGAAUGGAAUUCCCGGUGGAGCGGUGGAAUGCGCAGAUAUCGGGAGGAACACCAGUGGCGAAGGCGGUUCUCUGGACAAGACCUGACGCUGAGGCACGAAGGCCAGGGGAUCAAACGGG
rnacentral:rRNA from 1 species